rnacentral:rRNA from 1 species
AUUGAACGCUGGCGGCAGGCCUAACACAUGCAAGUCGAGCGAGCGGCGGACGGGUGAGUAAUGUAUGGGGAACUGCCUGAUAGAGGGGGAUAACUACUGGAAACGGUAGCUAAUACCGCAUACUAUCGGAUGCACCCAGAUGGGAUUAGCUAGUAGGUGGGGUAAAGGGUUACCUAGGCGACGAUCCCUAGCUGGGCUGAGAGGAUGACCAGCCACACUGGGACUGAGACACGGGCCAGACUCCUACGGGAGGCAGCAGUGGGGAAUAUUGCACAAUGGGCGCAAGCCUGAUGCAGCCAUGCCGCGUGUAUGAAGAAGGCCUUCGGGUUGUAAAGUACUUUCAGCGGGGAAGCGUUACCCGCAGAAGAAGCACCGGCUAACUCCGUGCCAGCAGCCGCGGUAAUUC